UUGAUCGCUUUCUUGUUAUUAUUAUUAUUAGACUCCUAUAUUAUUAAUAACAGAUACUUCAGACCGGCCAGAGGGUGGUAUUUAACGGGGUUUUGAAGUAAAAUUAUUUGAGUAACACAUAGGCUAUUAUGUGUGGAGAGCUUUCACUGAACAUCAUAAUCUCUUUUAUUUGAUUGAGGUGGGCCUGUAGAGGCUUUUUGCACCUCUUUUGUUGUCAGUUUGUGUUCCUACCUCGUCUCUAAGCCAGCCUUGACUCCUUUACUAGUGGGUGGAAUAACCAUCCUCUCCACAGAGAGUAAUCUAAACCCAGACCAGUUGUGGGAAAUUGGACUCCUGCAAAACCCUGUCACUCCUCCAGUCCUAUCUGAGAUUGCACAAGGCGAUGACUCUGACUGGGACACAGACAGUAUCUCUGACCAGCCGUGGACAGGAAUUGUAGUUCCUCCAGUCGAAUGCCCCUUACUGAAGAACUUAAGGCCCAAAUUCAAACUUUUUUUAACCCAACCUCACACUCUCAAAACUAUGGAAGAGACCAUUAUUUAGUUUUAAAUUUUGUGCUGCUUCAUUCUUAAUUGACACUAAAUCAGUCAUUGAAAUGACUAGUUACCAAAUGAUACAUUUACAAGCAAAUUAACAUCCAAGUCAAUAAAAAACAAACUUAAGGUGACAUUGCAUGCUUGUUUUAUUUUCUGUAUUGGCUAUAUUUAAAGCAGAAAAUGGCUAGUAUAACAACUUGUGUUCUCUUAACACAUUCAUUAAGAUAUACAAUUUUACAUUGUGUAACACGUUGUGUUCUCUACACAUACACAGUAAAUUUCAAAACCAUAAGAACAUUUACCAAUGUAUAAAAGUUUUUAUUUUCCUGAACAUGUACAAUUCCAUACCUUUAGUAUAAUUUUAAAUUCAGUUUAAACCGUUGUCAAAUUGAAUGGCUUGGUUGGGGUUGAUAUUGUCUGAAUUAAAUCAAUUACAUUUUAACAUUAAUUUGUAGUUUUUUUUUACAAUAUUUAUACUAAAUCAACUCUGUCAGUUCAUACAUAACACAGCUUUCAAUUUCUUGGAGAAAGUCUUGCAGAAAGUUGAUUAUAGCGGUUUCAUAAGUCUCUUGUAC